rnacentral:tRNA from 1 species
UCCAAUGUGGUCUAGUGGUUAGGAUUCUGGCUUUCACCCAGGCGGCCCGGGUUCGAUUCCCGGCAUUGGAA